CGCCGGACCUGACUGCUAUCGGAUUGAUACUAAGCCAUGCGAGUCUUUGCGGUAAUGCAAGGCGGACUGCUCAGUAACACGUAGUCAACUUAACCUAUGGAUGGGUAUAACCUCGGGAAACUGAGAAUAAUUCCCAAUAGAUCAUUUAUCCUGGAAUGGUUAGUGAUUGAAAUGAUUCGUCGCCAUAGGAUAGGACUGCGGCCUAUCAGCUUGUUGGUGAGGUAAAGGCCCACCAAGGCUAUUACAGGUACGGGCUCUGAGAGAAGAAGCCCGGAGAUGGGUACUGAGACACGGACCCAGGCCCUAUGGGGCGCAGCAGGCGAGAAAACUUUGCAAUGUGCGAAAGCACGACAAGGUUAAUCCGAGUGAUUUCUGCUAAAGAAAUCUUUUGCCAGUUCUAAAAAUACUGGUGAAUAAGGGGUGGGCAAGUUCUGGUGCCAGCAGCCGCGGUAAU
rnacentral:rRNA from 1 species